AACGCGAAGAACCUUACCCAGGCUUGAACAGCGAGUGACCAACUCCGAAAGGGGUCUUCCGCAAGGACACUCGUAGAGGUGCUGCAUGGCUGUCGUCAGCUCGUGUCGUGAGAUGUUGGGUUAAGUCCCGCAACGAGCGCAACCCUUGUUUGCUGUUGCCAUCAGGUUAUGCUGGGCACUCUGCAGAGACUGCCGGUGAUAAACCGGAGGAAGGUGGGGAUGACGUCAAGUCAGCAUGGCCUUUAUGUCUGGGGCUACACACGUGCUACAAUGGCCGGUACAAACCGUCGCAAAAUCGUAAAGGUUGAGCUAAUCGGAGAAAGCCGGUCUCAGUUCGGAUAGCAGGCUGCAACUCGCCUGCUUGAAGUUGGAAUCGCUAGUAAUCGCGGAUCAGCACGCCGCGGUGAAUACCGUUCCCGGGCCUUGUCACACCGGUACUA
rnacentral:rRNA from 1 species